rnacentral:rRNA from 1 species
GACGGAGGAUGCAAGUGUUAUCCGGAAUCACUGGGCGUAAAGCGUCUGUAGGUGGUUCGAAAAGUCCACUGUUAAAAAUUGAGGCUUAACUUCAAAGAUGCCGUGGAAACUUUCAAACUAGAGUAUGGUAGGGGUAGAGGGAAUUUCCAGUGGAGCGGUGAAAUGCGUAGAUAUCGGGAGGAACACCGGUGGCGAAGGCGGUUCUCUGGGCCUUACCUGACGCUGAGGAGCGAAAGCGUGGGGAGCGAACAGG